rnacentral:snRNA from 1 species
GUGCUCACUUUGGCACCAUAUAUGCUAAAAUCAGAAUGAUACAGAGAAGAUUAGCCUGGCCCCUGCACAAAGAUGACAUGGAAAUUCAUGAAGUGUCCCAUAUUUUG